CUUACCAGGUCAAGACAUGGGCGUGAUUGACAGGCUAAUGACUUUUCUCGAUUCCAUGGAUGGUGGUGCAUGGUCGCACUUAGUUGGUGCAGUGAUUUGUCAGGUUUAUUCCGGUAACGAACGAGACCUCGGCCUUGUAAAUAGCUAUGCUGCUUACAGGGACAUUGGCGGCUACGCCAAGGAAGCUCGAGGCAAUUGCAGAUCUGGAAUGCCCUUAGAUGUCCUGGGUCGCACGCGUGCUACAAUGACGCCACGAACGAGCUUGCGUGAUGAAAGUUACGCAUAAUCAGCAGUCGGCGUCUUAAGGGAUAGUCUCUUGUAACUGUGGGACUCCAACUAGGAAUGUCUCGUAAGCACAAGUCAACAUCUUGUGUUGAUUACGUCCCUGCUCUUUGUACACACCGCCCGUCGCUCCUACCGAUCGAGUGUUUAGGUGAAUUUGAUGGACGUAAGGAAGUCAAAUAAACCUGAGCACUAGAGAAGAGAAGUCUACAUGAUUU
rnacentral:rRNA from 1 species